UUUUUAGUUCCUCUGAUUGCCCAUUUUUGGUCUAAAUUGACUGGGCUAAACAGGCAUUUUCGGAUUCAGUGGGGUGAAAACAGGCGGAAAAGACUGGUAGCCAAAAACUAAUGUGAAAUAAUGCUCCUCAAAUUUUUCGAAAUAUUGACUAACCUAAUAGGAUUGAUUCACGAAACGGAAUUAAUUCCUUUUUGAAUUCAUCUCUGAACGUGAUCAUGGUUGCUGAGAUAUUGUCAGAACAAGUUGUUGGUCUGAAAAUUGACUAAAACAAUCAAAUGUACGUUUUGUAUUUCAACACCAGCCGAUCUGAAGUGAAAUUUCAUUAUUGUACAAUUUACAGCACCCAAAUGCCGUUGGCAAGUUUCCUUUCGAAUAUGGCAAAAAUGUACACGACAUUUUUCGGGCGAAUAUGAUUUAUAAUUUAAGAGAUUUUUUUAACAAUAUUAAUGUAGGUUCAAACGUAAACAAUAUAGGAAGUAUUUAAAAGCUGGGCAUUUUAAGAAAAGAGAAAGGUAAAUAACUAAUUGCUAUGAAAAUGACAAGGCAUUUGGUUUUAAUGUAAAAUUACGCUGCUAAAUGAAAUUAAAUGAGCGACUUUGUGUACAGUUUGUUUGACCCCUAACGCCUCUUCCCACAGUCCACUCAUUUUAAACUCAUAAUGACGCAGUCAUACAAAUUAUUGCUACACGAUCCUAAAUAUUAAUUUCUUGUGCCUUAUGAUGAAAUAUGGUUUGCAUUUCUGUUAUGAAUACAAGGGCCACGCUAUUUUCUUUUUAGCUUUUCAUACAUUUUUAUGUUUCUUACGAGUUGACCAGCUGCAACUUUUCACUUAAUUGCAAGGAAGCAGCAACUUGCAACAUGUUGCUACGGCUGGUAGUCGCUCGUCAGUCGCUACAGCACAAAAUCUAUUUCUGGCAAACACAACUUUUGAAGAAAUCAUUCAAUUUGAACAACGCGAUAAAGAAAGCAUUGCAAGAAGAAAAAGUAUUGCUUCCCCAAAAAGCUCUUCUAAACUAAGCUUCGCACGAGAGGUUGACCACUUGGCAAUUUUGGUGUACAGCCAACAGUAAUUUUUUUGUAUUUUCAGUAAUUUUUUGUAAUUUGGUAAUUCAUUGGUAAUUUUAGUAAUGUCUGUAACUUUAGUUAUUUUUUGGUAACAAACAAAAGUUUCGGGACAACGUUCCCUUGACGAAAAUUGACAACGUCCGAAUUGGAUUGCGUCGUCUCUCUCUUCAACUGGUUCUCGCUGCAACAAAACGCCUUUUGCAUGUUUACCGCCUGGCCGGCCAGAGAAGAAAGAAAAGGAAAAUUAUCGCGUGUUUUUCCGUUCGCGAGGGUGCCAAGAGUAUCCCUGCAACCCUAACUCGUCUGCUUCUAACAUUGCGAGGGUGUCAAGAGUAUCCCCGCAACACCAACUUGUCUGUUUCCAAGAUCGCGAGGGUGUCAAGAGUAUCCCCGCAACACCAACUUGUCUGUUUCCAAGAUCGCGAGGGUGGCAAGAUUAUCCCCGCAAUCUCAAGGUGUCUGCUUCCGGUUCCAAAACUGCCGCUUUAUCAUUUACCAAAAGAAGAUUUCCCAAAGGACAUAACCUUAAUCAACCGUCCGCCAACUGCACAAUUUUCAUUACGUUGAAAUUACGAUUAUUUAUUUAGUGUGUGUAUUGCGAUA